rnacentral:rRNA from 1 species
UACGAAGGGUGCAAGCGUUACUCGGAAUUACUGGGCGUAAAGCGUGCGUAGGUGGUUUGUUAAGUCUGUUGUGAAAGCCCCGGGCUCAACCUGGGAAUGGCAAUGGAUACUGGCAAGCUAGAGUGCGGUAGAGGGUAGUGGAAUUUCCGGUGUAGCGGUGAAAUGCGUAGAUAUCGGAAGGAACAUCAGUAGCGAAGGCGGCACUCUGGGCCGGUACUGACGCUGAGGAGCGAAAGCGUGGGGAGCGAACAGG